UACGGAGGGGGCGAGCGUUAUUCGGAAUCAUUGGGCGUAAAGGGCUCGUAGGCGGCCAACUAAGUCGGACGUGAAAUCCCCAGGCUCAACCUGGGAACUGCGUCCGAUACUGGAUGGCUUGAAUUCGGGAGAGGGAUGCAGAAUUCUAGGUGUAGCGGUGAAAUGCGUAGAUAUCUGGAGGAAUACCGGUGGCGAAGGCGGAUCUCUGGGCCGAUACUGACGCUGAGGAGCGAAAGCGUGGGGAGCGAACAGG
rnacentral:rRNA from 1 species